CAGGGCUUGACAUCCUCAGAAUCCCAAGGAAACUUGGGAGUGCCCUUCGGGGAGCUGGGAGACAGGUGGUGCAUGGUUGUCGUCAGCUCGUGUCGUGAGAUGUUGGGUUAAGUCCCGCAACGAGCGCAACCCCUGUGUUUAGUUGCUAACGAGUAAUGUCGAGCACUCUAGACAGACUGCCGGUGAUAAACCGGAGGAAGGUGGGGAUGACGUCAAAUCAUCAUGCCCCUUAUGUCCUGGGCUACACACGUGCUACAAUGGCCAGUACAGACGGAAGCGAAGCCGCGAGGUGGAGCAAAUCCGAGAAAGCUGGUCUCAGUUCGGAUUGCAGGCUGCAACUCGCCUGCAUGAAGUCGGAAUCGCUAGUAAUCGCAGGUCAGCAUACUGCGGUGAAUACGUUCC
rnacentral:rRNA from 1 species